UACAGAGGGUGCAAGCGUUAAUCGGAAUUACUGGGCGUAAAGAGCACGUAGGUGGUUGUUCAAGUUGGAUGUGAAAGCCCCGGGCUCAACCUGGGAAGGUCAUCCAAAACUGGACGACUAGAGUAUGGUAGAGGGAAGUGGAAUUUCCGGUGUAGCGGUGAAAUGCGUAGAUAUCGGAAGGAACACCAGUGGCGAAGGCGACUUCCUGGACUAAUACUGACACUGAGGUGCGAAAGCGUGGGGAGCAAACAGG
rnacentral:rRNA from 1 species